rnacentral:lncRNA from 12 species
CCUACUGGAACUGGAAGGGACUUUCAAAGGUCAUCUCCAUUCUUCUGCCUCUCAUCACAUGUCUGCCUAACCUCUGUCCCUGCCCAGCACCCCAGAAACCACAGACCACUCCUAGAGCCGCUGCCCGCCCCCUGCCCGCCCUCCGCAAGUUUGGCCAGCCUCUCCCAACUGCCAGAUGAGCAACUCUGGCAGCCUUCAGGGAGACCUGGGGGCGUCUGGAGGCGAGGGGCACUCAGGUCUCAGCUCCUACCCCCACCCCUGGAGGUGAACAGGUGUGUCAAGCCAGGCUGGGAUUCAAGCUGGUGACUCAAGCGCGCAACUGAGCCGCCGACAGCUGUGCUUGUCCUCAGCAAUGAGCCCUCCCUUCCACCGCCACCCAAGAUGGAAUCUUAGAAGCUGGGAAUUCUAGAAGCCAGGAAUAGAGUCCCAGAAGGAAGGGCCCUCAGGGAUCAUGCCUCUCCUUUGUCUGAGAGGAAACUGAGGAUCAGAAAGGGGUGUGGCUUGCUUAGGGGGUCACUCAGGCAGCAGGGAAAUGGUCGCUUGAAAGGCUGUGGCUUAGGCCCAGUAAAACCCUCGUGGUCCCAGCACCUAUCAGCUGGGCCCCUCACACCUCUUGCUCUCCAGCAAGGGGAGUGGGUUCACUGGUGUGGAGAGGACUCUUCCCUGUCUCCUGCCCUGGAGCCCUGGAGCGAGGCAGGCAGGUGCCCCUCGCUGGGCCUCUUUCCUCUUCUGGGCCGCAGAUUAUGAGGCCGGGACAGGUGCCGGGGGCCCUUCAGUCUCAGGUGGGGGAUUAGAAGCUAAGGUUUCAGCAGGAGACUGAAGGCAAGGGUAUCCCUGGCUCAGCCCAGAGCUGCAGGGGGUGGGAGAGCCCUGCUCCCCUGGCUCAGCAGGGGCAGGCAGGACUCCCAAGCCCCUUCUACCUCUGCCCAGCCAGGGAUGUGUGGGAGCAUCGGGAGGCCAGGGUGCCGCAUCAUCCCCCAGCCGGGUGACACACAGGGAAAGGUGGUAUCACUGUUUUCAGGGGAGCCUACAAAGGGAGGAGCCAGGCCAGGCCUUUCGCAGCAGCAGCAGCUUGUGUCCCCCUGACAAACAUUUUCAAAGCCCGGACUCCGUGCAGACAUGGAGCAAAUAUUCUCUGACCCCUGAGAGGUGCCAAGCGUGUCAUUUCAACUCCCCCCUCCGCAGUUCCAGAGUCAGCAGGGAGACAACUUGGCCCCCAAAUCCCAUGGAUGAGUUGGGGAGAUGUGCUGGCGCUACCCUGUACCUUCUUGAGAACUGGCACUCUGCAAAGGACUUCCAGGGGAACCUGCCCCUGGGAGGAGAGGCUGGGGCAGGCCUCCCAGAGCCCU